rnacentral:lncRNA from 1 species
GUAGUUGAAUUAUGAUAUUUCUGAAGUGUAGGAGUAAUUGACAUAAUUUUCGACGCAUUUUGAUAUCAUUUAUGCAAUAUUGUGGUUUUUUAUGGCUUCGAGAACCUUAUUUUGGACUUAUGUGGAUAUCUUUUGAUUCGUCCAAUGGAUGGCCGAACGGACUGCUCUAGUAGCUCCGUAGCAUCUAUUUUAGGCGGGGUAGACCUUUGGUUCGAGUUUCGGUGCACCCAAGCUCAUUUUGACCUAUUGGUCAGAAAGUUGAAAAAUUAGAAAUAUAGGUGUGGUACCCACAUUUGAUUGAAACGACCUCGGAUGGAAAAUUCGACUUCUCCAGUAGAUCCAAAAUAUUGGAUUUAGAGUGUUAGCAUAUUUGGUAUGAUUUUAUGGCUUUAAAAUUUUAUUUCGGCCCUCGGUUUGGAAAAUUAUAAUUUAGGAAUUAGGGAGUCAACUUUGUGGAAACAAUAUUUUUUUGAAAAUAUGAUAUCGCCAACGCGUCCAGAACAUCGAAUUUAUUAUGGUUACAUAGUUCAUUUGCAUAUAUCGGACUCCGAACGAAUUUUGAGCAUCCCAUCAAGUCCGUUUGAACUUGGAAAAAAACUGCUAACAUUCCAGAUUUUCUGCUAUAUAUAGGAGAUUUCACCCUAAUUUUGAUUCAGUUUGCUCAUUUUUCAUCUUGCCUCUUGAGAGUUAAACCCUAAAAUAGUAUGGGAGUUAAAAGUAAAGUUUGUGAGAACUUGGGAAGUUAGAUUAGCAUCUAUUUAUUGGUUUUAUUACGAAUUUAAGGUAAACAUUCACCCCUUUUCUUAAAAAUUUCUUGAUAAAUUCCUCAAAACGCUAAAAAUCUUAAGGCACGAUUUUAAACCAAAAUUUCACUUUUUUCACUUGAAUAAUAUUUUUAUCUUAUAAUUACUAUUUUUUCAUCAAUUUAACCUUCAAAACAAAUUCGAUUCUUGAUUUUAACCCGAAUUUUUAAGAUUUUACCUGCUAAAGCUCAAAAAUAGUUUUUCUUCAAUUUGAACCCCGUUUUUUACUCGAUUUAACUUGGGUUUUCAGCUAUAGGUUUCUAAAAAUAUGGGGAACAUGUUUUUGAAGUAAAUUUUCAAUUUUACCCUUCUUUUUUGAAAACCCAUUUUGGAGGUCCGUUUUGAUCCCGAACCAAAAGAAGUCAAUAUGGGUGUCGUUGGUUUUGUCUUGACACGUAGAUUUCAUAUUUGAUAUUUUUAGUGGGGUUUGAGAUUGUUCAUGAAAAGUAAAGGCCGCGGGUUCAAGUGUAGCGGAUCGAUUUCGGCUUUUGAAGUAGGUUAUGGCUUAACUCUUUUAGACUGGGCUGGAUAGUAAAUAAUGAUACAAAAUACAUGUUAAGGGUGAAAACUAGUCAUGAGAAAUGACUAUUUAUGUUUUGUGACCAUGUGGGGGCCUAUAUGUGAUGUAAUCGCCAAAAUUUAGUUAUUAUGUGAUAUGUGUGACCGUGUAGGGUCCUAUGUUAUAUUAAUAGCCUUGAAUACAUGUGAAUAAUUAUAUUGUGCUGUUAAAAUACUUAAUGGGGUAACAUUGGUGUAUUGUGAUUAUAUUCAUACCUUAUUGACAUAUAAGACAUGUGGAAAUUCAUGGAUAAAACGAAAAUAAUGAAUGGAUAUUAGCUUAUGUGGUUGUGGAAAUGUAUUAUUGUGGUUAGUUGUGAAAAUAUAUCAUGUGGUUGGUUGUGAAAAUACUCAUUG